rnacentral:rRNA from 1 species
GUUUGAUCCUGGCUCAGAGCGAACGUUAGCGGCAGGCUUAACACAUGCAAGUCGAGCGACAAAGGGGCUUCGGCCCUGAGUAGAGCGGCGGACGGGUGCGUAACACGUGGAUAAUCUGCCUCGUGGCGGGGGGAUAACAGUCCGAAAGGACUGCUAAUACCGCAUGUCAGGUCGGAAACCCCGGUUUCUGACGAAAAAGAGGGCGCCCGCAAGGGGCUCUCACCACGAGAUGAGUCCGCGGCCCAUCAGCUAGUUGGCGGUGUAAUAGACCACCAAGGCUAAGACGGGUAGCUGGUCUGAGAGGAUGACCAGCCACACUGGGACUGAGACACGGCCCCAGACUCCUACGGGAGGCAGCAGUGGGGAAUAUUGGACAAUGGGCGAAAGCCUGAUCCAGCCAUGCCGCGUGAGUGAGUGAAGGUCUUCGGAUCGUAAAGCUC